GGCGAGAGCGCUGUAAUUGUGUAUGUUGGCGUGGGUCGCGCAGUUUUGCAGGCGUUAGGUGUCGUGUAACGGGUGGGAUACUUCUUUGUUUAAAUGUUUCAUCUCCAAAACGUGGAAGAAAUGGACAGAAAUAAUGAGCAGGGUUUACCAACUUAUACCUACCUCUCAAACGUACCUCAUCUGGGUUCUUCUAAAGUUAAUGUUCAUUGAGGUACCACAUUGAAAGGGAUCUCAUUACGAGGAACGUACCUACCUCAUUUGGGGAUUUUGUUCCUCGAAGUUCCACAUUGAAAGG